UUGAGCUGGACGAAGACACCACCAGAUUUCAUAGUGUCACUCCUCUCAUGCUUUCAACACCAGCCCUGACAGCCACCUUCUGGCCCUGAGGGUGAGGCGCUCAGGCAAAUUCUGGUCAACCGUUACUAUGGAAACAUCAGACCUUCGGGAAGAAGAGAGAGCCUUACCAGCUUUGGCAAUGGCCCACUGUCACCAGGAGGACCCAGCAAGCCCGGGGGAGGAGGGGGAGGUUCCGGAUCCAGCUCUAUGAGCAGGGGUGAGAUGAGUCUGGCCGAGGUUCAGUGUCACCUUGACAAGGAGGGGGCUUCCAAUCUAGUUAUCGACCUCAUCAUGAACGCAUCCAGUGACCGAGUGUUCCAUGAAAGCAUUCUCCUGGCCAUUGCCCUUCUGGAAGGAGGCAACACCACCAUCCAGGUAGGAAGGCAGCUUGGCUGCUGGUGUGGCAUCUCUGCUGAGCAGGAGGAGAGUCUGUUCUGGGAGCCAGAUGCCUGGGUGGUACCAAGACUUGUUUGGGAGACAGCUCAUUCUGAGGGCACAAAAUUCUGUUUUGAAAAAUGAGUUCUACUAGUAUCCUGCUGUGAUCAUUUCAUCAUAAAUCAGACUUGGUUCCAGAACAUGAGUUACAUUUGAAAACUGAUGAAACGCUGAGAAUAUGCAAAGGAAACUGGCCUAAGAUCUAGGACAU
rnacentral:sRNA from 1 species